UCCCUGGACGAGGAGUGGUUAGGCCUUGCGCCCUCAACGCUGCGGCCUGGGUUCGAUUCCCAGCCAGGAAA